rnacentral:lncRNA from 1 species
UACUAUAUACAUACAUAUUUUUUCAGAAUUUCUUUUAGAUGUUCUUUAUUUUAUUUUGUUCUGUUUCAGAAUUUCGGGCUCCAAGGAGUCCAAACUUCAAAACGCUGCACUCUGGUUUCUCUGGAGAAUAAUGAUUGGAGAUGUUAUAAUGGUAUUGAUGGCAUUGCUUGCUUUUUUUUUCUUUUGACUAAAGUAUUGCUUGUUUUGUACGUACUUUUGUAUCGUACGCAAUAGUAUAGAUUGGUGGUAUGGAUGUGAGGACACUUCUUUGCGUAUAUGUGUAUUUCCAUAAAUCGGUCGAAACUAAGAUGGGGUUAAAAGGUGAGCUCAAUGGAUGUGAGGACACUUCUUUGCGUAUAUGUGCACAGGGCAAAAUCACUGUUUGAACUGCACUAGGAAAAUUCCUUUGUUUUAAAUAAAGCGCAAUCUGAGCUGUUUAUUUUUUAUUCGAAGGCUCAGAUAAUGACGACCGGAAGCAGAUCAACAGGACAACAGCCAAAACAUACCUGAUUAUGUUUUAUGGGCGAACGGCUAAAAAUACUUGAUCUAGGGAAACCGUUUCUUCUGCUUUUACCUUUACUCCCUCUUUCUCGCCUCUUACUAACUAGGCCGCGUCCUCCCUCCCUUCUAUUGUGUUCCCUCCCCUUCAAAUCCCACGGCAAGUCUGCGAGUGGGAGGAGUGGGGGAGCGGAACGAAUUGGGAUCAAGCACGUUGUGACCCAUCGAUUAGGGUUGCUCCGCCUCCCGAAAAUCUCCUGAUAUCGUAAUUUCUCUAGACCUUUCAUGAUUUUUUUUUGCGCCUUCCUUCGAAUCCCUUGCUAGGGUUGGAAAUGUACAUCUAAAAAGAUUUAUUUUAUACAUAGACGCAGAUACAAAUUCUAAAGGCACAAACAAAUGUACAUCUAACAAAGAUUUAAUAAUUUAUCUUAGCAUUAAUCCGAAUAGCCAACAAUUUGAUGCAAAGGUUACGAUAUCUAACACGAGUUUGUCAUUCUUUCAUCUUUAUCAUGUAUUCUUAAACAGUAUCACUAAUCCCAGUUUAAUACGUUGCUCUUGCGUUUUAUAAGUUUGUGAACCAUGGUUCAAAUAAGCGCUAAGCGAGAGGUGAGGCACCGUUGAGAGGAAUUGAAGUUUAAGCAUUCCGUACGGACUCUAUUUCUGA